GUUGUACUCACUUUGGCAAAAUGAACUAAAGUUGUCCUUAUACAGAGAAUAUUACCAUAGUGCCUGUAUAAGGGUAACACAGAUGUUUUUGAGACAUUCCAUUUUUUU
ensembl:snRNA U6 U6 spliceosomal RNA